rnacentral:rRNA from 1 species
UUGAACGCUGGCGGCAGGCCUAACACAUGCAAGUCGCACGGUAACAGGAAGCAGCUUGCUGCUUCGCUGACGAGUGGCGGACGGGUGAGUAAUGUCUGGGAAGCUGCCUGAUGGAGGGGAUAACUACUGGAAACGGUAGCUAAUACCGCAUAAUGUCGCAAGACCAAAGAGGGGGACCUUCGGGCCUCUUGCCAUCGGAUGUGCCCAGAUGGGAUUAGCUUGUUGGUGGGGUAACGGCUCACCAAGGCGACGAUCCCUAGCUGGUCUGAGAGGAUGACCAGCCACACUGGAACUGAGACACGGUCCAGACUCCUACGGGAGGCAGCAGUGGGGAAUAUUGCGCAAUGGGCGCAAGCCUGAUGCAGCCAUGCCGCGUGUAUGAAGAAGGCCUUCGGGUUGUAAAGUACUUUCAGCGGGGAGGAAGGGAGUAAAGUUAAUACCUUUGCUCAUUGACGUUACCCGCAGAAGAAGCACCGGCUAACUCCGUG